GCUUACGUUUACAAUUUGUCCCACAAACAUGAAACAGUUGUGCUAAAGUCAAGGUUAAUCGUAUUUAUUUACAUUUUUUGCGUCUUUAUAUACUCUUAUAUACUUCUGCGUAAUAUACGUUCGACAAUACAUGGACCGGCCUUGAACAUCGAUGGAAAAUAAUAUAAUAGCAACCGGUAGUAUACGACUUUACCUCAAUUCCGGUUUCAUAUAAACAGCAGCUCAUGUAGUGUAGAUGUCCAGUCAACAAGGAUGUAGCGUAGACUGUCCAGGCGACACACGUACUUAGGUAUCGUCAUGAGCUAAUGUUCACAUGUAAACAGCAGCUCAUGUAGUGUAGAUGUCCAGUCAACAAGGAUGUAGCGUAGACUGUCCAGGCGACACACGUACUUAGGUAUCGUCAUGAGCUAAUGUUCACAUGUAAACAGCAGCUCAUGUAGUGUAGAUGUCCAGUCAACAAGGAUGUAGCGUAGACUGUCCAGGCGACACACGUAAUUAGAUAUCGUUAUGAGCUAGCUACAGUUAGUUUACAAAUAUCUAUUUAAAGCUAUGACGUCUAUUAUCAGUGUCAAUUUUAAAGGGAAUCUACUACACAUUGAAUAUUACGUAGUCUAGAAACAUAGUCGAUUAUGCAUAUCGAUUCGUUAAUCGAUUCAAUCCGGUUCCAAUCGAGAAUUUUCUAGUUUAUAGGCAAUAGCGAUAAGGUGUUUAGAUAUGUGCCUACUCGAUUACAUAUCAGUGUAGUAAUUACUUUAGAUAAUUGAGGGAUUAUUGCUUUGUUUGUCUAACUUCUAAACAGGAUAUUUAUCUUAUUUCUAGGGAGUUGCAACAUGUGGGUAAUA